GCAGGCUUAACACAUGCAAGUCGAGCGGAAACGAAGAGGUGCUUGCACCUCUGGCGUCGAGCGGCGGACGGGUGAGUAAUGCUUGGGAAUAUGCCUUAUGGUGGGGGACAACAGUUGGAAACGACUGUUAAUACCGCAUGAUGUCUACGGACCAAAGUGGGGGACCUUCGGGCCUCACGCCAUAAGAUUAGCCCAAGUGGGAUUAGCUAGUUGGUGAGGUAAUGGCUCACCAAGGCGACGAUCCCUAGCUGGUUUGAGAGGAUGAUCAGCCACACUGGGACUGAGACACGGCCCAGACUCCUACGGGAGGCAGCAGUGGGGAAUAUUGCACAAUGGGCGCAAGCCUGAUGCAGCCAUGCCGCGUGUGUGAAGAAGGCCUUCGGGUUGUAAAGCACUUUCAGUAAGGAGGAAAGGUUAAGUGUUAAUAGCACUUAGCUGUACGUUACUUAC
rnacentral:rRNA from 1 species